CCUGAACUUCAGAGCAAAUUCCUACCUAGGUGACAUGUUCAGCCAAAACUUGAGCCUGAGAAGACCUGUUUGUCACUGCUCUGGAGGGAAAAAACUAAAACUACUCCAAGAAGUGAAGCUGGUCCAAUCAGCUCCAGCCCAAGUUUAAAGGCCAGGCCUGCAAUUAAAUGAGAGAGAUGUUGCAGCUCCUUCUCAAUGGACAGCACUGAGAGACCACUGCAGAGACCCUGGAUGGUUCCAGGCAGUCCUCAAAGCUCUACAAUAAGAAACAACAGCACACAAGGACUGCCCCAUCAGACAGACCCAAGCAGGGAGGUCAGUCAGCUCCCUGGAGGACUGUGCUUGACAGCAGGUUGGAAUACUUCAUAGGACUGCCAAGGAAAUUGGGUGCUAAAACCCUUCCUAGGACACUGCAUCCCAGGGGAAGACAAGGCAUGUGGGAUUCAUGGUCCUCCCUGAGGUCACAGAUCCUCAGAGAGCAGCUCCAUUAAAGUUGGGGCCUGGCAAAUUAAUCCUCAAGAGAAGUCCAAGACACAACCUCCUUCUUUGUCUGAAAGGCAGGAUCUUAAAAUGCAGGAUGGAUUCCUUUCACACUCAGUGAGUAAGUUACUAGAGAAGAUGGCCAUGAGCAAAAGCUGGGCAAAGGCCUGGGACCAAGGGCUUCAAAGAAGAGCAACCUGCUUGCAGCAGCUUUGGGAAUUAUUCACCAAGAUUCGACUCCAUCCCAGCAAGUCUCCCAUCCCUGCCACCUCCACCAACUGGUUAUGGACCAGCACCAUGACACCAGCCUAAGCAAGAGGCAUCCUAGGAGGAAAACCUGUUGUGAAAAAGUAUUACUACUGUUGUUAAUAAUAGUAUACUAUCAUUCCAAAGACAGAUACAAAUGUAUUUUGGAGAGUGUAAAGUUUAUUUCUCUCUACUAGUGCUGCUCACGAAGGGCUGUCUUGAUUUCUCCCAAGAGUUACUGUACAUUCUGCAAUGUUCCUGGACAGGCUGGGGUCAACACCACCCAGCAGGAGGCUCCUAAGGCUGGCAGUGGAUGGGGACCACCAUUUAAAGGGGAAGAACAUGAAAUGAGAGUGUGGGAGGACAGAAAAUAGUCGGGUGAGAGAGGUGAGUUGUGGGGAAAAAUGCUUCCUCCUUUUCCUUUAAAUCUGAUGCGGG
rnacentral:lncRNA from 1 species